rnacentral:sRNA from 1 species
UGCCAGGGCCUGAGUUCCCUGGCGGAAGAGGCAGCGCGUGCGACCGAGAACCCGGAGCAGGUGGCGAGCGAGGGUCUCCCGGAGCCCGUGCUGCGCAAAGUCGAGCUCCCGGUACCCACUCAUCGACGCCCAGUGCAGGCCUGGGUCGAGUCCUUGCGGGGCUUCGAGCAGGAGCGCGUGGGCCUGGCCGACCUGCACCCCGAUGUUUUCGCCACCGCGCCCAGGUGAGCGAGGGCUGUAAUGGUGAACUGAGUGGCAGAGGGAUGAAGAGCGGGAUUUCAGGAGUCACGAUGACUUUGGGCUUGUACCCUUGGGAAAGUGCUGAAUUUCUACAGCCUCCGUUUCUCCACCUGUCAAAGGGGAACGAUGACAAAACUGUAGCGCUGUGUGAGAUUGAAGCCUGAGAGGUGACAUCAUCUAAGGGUUAGGGAGACAGAAUUCUGGAGCCCGACUGAUUAGGUUCAAAUCCUGCCUUCCCCUCUUGUCCCUCAGUGUCCCUAUUUUGUCAGCGGUCGGGAGGUUGCUGUCAUGAAUAAAUGACUUAA